ACACCCGAAACCCUAUUCUUCUAUGAAUCCAUUUCCCCCUCUUUUCUUCCUCUCUCCACCACAUUCUUCUUCUCUUUCUUUUAUGAAUCCAUUUCCCCUUCUUAUCUUCCUCUCUCCACCACAUUCUUCUUCUCUUUCUUUUCUCUCCUUUUUGCAAAAACACAGACGCCGCCUUUCUCCCCCUAUAUCGGCCACCACCACUUCCAAUGAAAAAUCAAAUUCAUUUCCGUAUUUCUCAUCUCACGGGCUUCCCAAUGAAUCAGUUGGAUUUUUUCCGAGCGAUCUCGCUUUCUACCACCGUCUCUCCUUUCCGACAUUCACUACUCACCAAGAUUCCAUUUUACUCUUUCAAUUUAUUGUUUUCUUGAAGCAAAUAGAUCCAGGUCUAAAACAUUAAUUUGGUUUAACCUUGCAGAUUUAAAGGAAAAUCAUACAAAGAGAAAGCUGAUGAAGAAGAAAUAGGGUCUACAGUUGUUUCUUGCAGGGCUGAUUUGAUAAUGUGCUGUCUGUCGGGUUUGGUUCGGUGUUGGCUGGUUUCCGUUGGAGGGUGUCAUUCUGGGAGGCGUUUCCAGAGUUAGACGACAUCAUCAAUUUUGUGUAGUUACAGCUCUGCUAAAAUUCUUAUCUUACGUUUGUUUCAGGCGGCGAAUCGUUGAUAAGUUAAUAUGGAGAUAAUUCUCUUUUAAUUCAUUUGUGCUGGUGGAUAUUCUCUUUCGUAUACGUAUUUAAUAGAAUGUUCUUAUUAGAAUUUUGUUUAUAUAUCUUGAUUUUUGUUGGCAGAUAAGUUAUGAACAACAGUCACGUUACACAGUCAAAACUUAUAUAAGCCCAAGAAUUGACAAGCUCUAGAGGGAUGCCUAUACCGAAAUUUUUUUUUGUUCCUCAUACUAAGCAACAAUAAUUAUUCUAUUUUUUACCAAUGUUCAAAUGGCUCUCUUCUUUGCCAUUGGUGGAGCUAUGCAGGAGUGAUAUUGCAUGCUACAUUGCGAUUGGUUAGAGGCUGGUAGCAAGUUGAUCAAAGAAACAAUGACCCACUUGCUUUUAGGAGAUUAAACAUGCACUCAUAAGGAAGAUAACUCUUACAAUGAAGAAUGGGACAGGAAAUUAGUACAGAAGAUAGCACUAAGGAUUGGGGGUGUCUCAACAAGUUGAAUGUUUCAUGUUUACAAUAUUUAAUUUCAGCUGGGAUCACUUGAUUAGUUUGAAAGCAAGGGUUUCUUUUUGAAUCCUUCUAUUAGUUAAUUAAGUAGAUAUAUUAAACCCCCUCAUUCGAAGACUAUGCAGAUUAUUUGUAUUUUUUGUUAUACUCCUAUUUUAUUUCAUCUUGCUGAUUAUUAUAAAUCUUGCUAUACCAGCUUUUGAUUGCA